GUCUUUGGAGCUAUUGUGCACAGACAACAUUAUCAUUACUAUGGAAAAAUUCAAACAAAUUAUGAAAUAUGAAGUGAUUUUGUGAACAAAAAGCCAUGAUGAACGCAGCAGACGCAGCAUCUGGUAUCUGAGUACCUAUCCACCCAUAUAAUGACCAUCAUACAGAACCUCCCUCACUCUCUGUUUUCGUGUCCUUGUGAGCAAACACUUGACUGGGCUGUGCUUGAGGAGGGCCAACGGGGGAACGUCCCAGUUACAGAGUACAAGACAGGCAUCGGUGGCAAGCCGCUGAGAUGUUGGUGGAGGUGUUUCUGUUCGCUGUGCUGGUGUUCCUGCUGUGGAAGACCUUCAGUAAGCCUCCAGGACUGCCUCCAGGCAGGUGGGGGCUUCCCCUGGUGGGUUACAUCCCCUGGACUAACAAGAACUUUGAGGAGCAGGUGAUUGACCUCCACCAGCAGUAUGGAGACAUCUUCCUGUGGAGGAUGGGGACUCAGUUGAUGGUAUUUCUGAAGGACUACAAACUGGUGAGGGAAGCUUACUCCAGAUUCGAGCUUUCCGACAGACCAAACUGGGAGACCUUCAGGAUCUUUGAGGAAACUACUCACGGAAUCGCAUCAAGUAAUGGUCUUUUUUGGCACAACAACCGGAGAUUUACGAUGCGACAGCUGCGUGACCUUGGCAUGGGCAAGUCCUCCCUGGUGGGGGCGGUGCAGCACCAAGCCCUCAAGCUGCGCAAGACUCUCGCUGAGGUUGUUGGAACACCUGUUAUGAUUCCCCAUCAGCUUCACGUGUCUGUGCUCAACGUGAUCUGGCACAUGGUGGCAAGCAGACAAUUCGAUGCGGAAGACAAGAAGUUACAAGAGUUCAUAAAGCUUAUGGAAGAAUUCGUGUUACUUUCGAAUCGAAUGGCCAUCAAAGACUUCUUGCCGUGGCUGGAAAAUAUCAUGCCGGAUUUCCUCUUUAAACGCCUCAUAAAGUAUCAUGGAAUAAUUUAUGUGAAGGAGAAGUUUAUCCAAUACUUUAAGGAAGAGAUCGAGGAGCACAAGACCACUUUGGAUUCAGACAACCCGCGGGACCUCAUUGAUAGCUACCUGGUGGAGAUUGAGGCCAAGAAAGAUGACCCAGAGACAACUUUCAGCGAGUGGGAGUUGGUAUUUAUAUUGUUCGACAUGUUCUUCGCGGGAAGUGAGACCACCGUCAACACCUUCACGUGGCUGUGUUGCUACCUGGCGGCACACCCACAGGUUCAACGCAAGUUGCAUGCUGAGAUUGACGAAGUGCUUCCCAGUGGAGCUCUGCCCACCUUGGCGGAAAAGUCCAGAAUGCCGUACAUGGAGGCCGUGAUCAACGAAACGAUGAGAGCUUGUGCACUGGUAAACUUCGGAUUGCAGCACGUGGCCAACAAUGACACGCAACUAGGGGGCUACACCAUUCCACAGGGAACAGUCGUGAACACUACCGUCACGUCUGUGCACUAUGACAGUCGCUACUGGGAUCGGCCCAAGGAGUUCAAGCCGGAGCGCUGGCUGGAUGAGAACGGCAAAUUCUCUAUGGCCAAGGAGGGAUUCCUGCCCUUCGGUGUGGGAAAGAGAGUUUGCGUUGGGGAAAGUCUGGCCCGGAUGGAACUGUUCAUCUUCACAGCCAUGGUCUUCCAAAGCUUCGCCAUCGCUCCUCCGCCUGGCAAAUCUGUCAACUUGACACCUGAUUUGAGCGGUUUCUUCUUCCGCAAGGCAAUGCCCAAUGAGUUCGUCUUCACCGCCAGGGAACAGUAAUGGUCGCUAUGGCAAUCAUCAGCUGCCCUGUAAAGUCCGACAUUGGAGAAGGAGGAACACAAGCAGGCAGUCAUAACUCAAAUCGCUCCUUAGACUAUCAAAUGCCCCCAUUGUUGCUGGAGGGAAAUGGUGUCAAAAAUGUAACUCAUACGAAGUUCUUAGGUGUUCAUAUAGACAAAAACUUAAAUUGGAGGUAUCAUAUUAAUGAUGUUUAUUUCAAAUUAUCCAGGAUGUGUGCCAUAUUGUAUAAGAUUCGCAACAAAUUCACUGUCGAGACUCUUCUCAGUAUCUAUUAUACUCUUUGUAUACUGUGUCUCACUAUGGGCAUGUACCUGGCCUUCUUUCAUCAUCAAGGUAAAAAUAGUCCAAAACAAAAUUUUAAGAUGUAUUUUCAACUUGGGAAAAUUUGAUUCCACUGCCAAAAUUUUCGCAGAGCACAAGCUUCUUAAUUUUUUUUUCUAUACACAAAUGUUUUCUCCUUUUAUUUAUCUUUAAAAUUCUUGUAAACAGACUGGGAACCCCAAUUUUUAAAUUAUUGGAAUCAAGAUACGGCACCAGACAACAAGAUGUCAAUAUAAUAUGCCCACAGUACCGCACAAUUCUUUUCAAACACAGCAUCUUCUAUUAUGGGCCACAACUAUGGAACAACUUGCCAGUAGAUAUAAAAAUCAUUUCAGAUAGUCCAGAUCAUUUUAAAAAGAAAAUAAAAAAACAUUUACUUGCAUUACAAAGUCCUUAUGGAUAGGGCUAUUAAUAUAUAGUUUAUGUACUGAUGUAUGUGUGUAUGUGGGUGCAUAGGUUUGUGUACUGAUGUAUGUGUAUAUGUGGGUUCAUGAGUUUGUGUACUGAUGUAUGUGGCUGCAUGGGUUUGUGUACUGAUGUAUACAUGUAUGCAGGCAUGUGCCUAAUAAGUAGUUUAUAUAUUUAGACAUGUAUAUGUAUGUUAAGUGUAUGAAGAUAAAAAUACAAGUAAUAUUUAACUAUACCCAGCCUUGCUGAUUUUUUUUUUUUUAUAAAAUAUUCCGUCAGGAAGCCCCGGCUCAACGGAUCAUGCCAAUAAUUUUCUAUUUUGUUAGUUAUGUCUAUAUAUGUAUAUGCUGGGAAUAAACUUUACUUUACUUUA